rnacentral:rRNA from 1 species
CCUACGGGGGGCAGCAGUGGGGAAUAUUGCACAAUGGGGGAAACCCUGAUGCAGCAACGCCGCGUGAGCGAUGAAGGCCUUCGGGUCGUAGAGCUCUGUCCUAAGGGAAGAAUACUGACGGUACCUUAGGAGGAAGCCCCGGCUAACUACGUGCCAGCAGCCGCGGUAAUACGUAGGGGGCUAGCGUUAUCCGGAAUUACUGGGCGUAAAGGGUGCGUAGGCGGCCCUUCAAGUCAGAGGUGAAAGGCUACGGCUCAACCGUAGUAGGCCUUUGAAACUGUAGGGCUGGAGUGCAGGAGAGGAGAGUGGAAGUCCCGGUGAAGCGGGGGAUUGCGAAGAUAUAGGGAGGAGGACCAGUCGCGAAGGCGGCUCUCUGGACUGUAACUGACGCUGUGGCACGAAAGCGUGGGGAGCGAACAGGAUUAGAUACCCCUGUAGUC